UGUAAAGUGCCUCCCACCCCCAGGCCCUUUUGGUUAUGGGAAAUGAGUGUGUUUUAGGACCAACAUGUCAGAAUCAUAAGGAAGAAACUUGGCAGUGGAACAAACUACACGAUAUGCUUGACAAGAACUGAGAAACAAUACAUCUCACAUUUUCUGAGGCAGUUUUCCACUUUUGGUUCAGAAAUAUGACCCAGAAGCCACAGAAAGGGAAGCACUGUUGCAUUAGGGUCACAAAGAGUUAGUCUUUACUAAAGAACCAACAGAGGAUAUUUCUGCACAGAAAAAUGAGGUGUCUGUAGGAGGAGAACUUAGUCCUGCUUCCAGCAGGGACAGGGGGAAAUUGAAAAGAGAGAACUUGUGAUCGUUUGCUUCCAAGAUGAAGACCAAGGUACAGAAGCCCCAGAAGGACAGAGCCGUGAGGCCCUCGGCCCACGGGAUUGAGAACCUUAAUGCUUGAAAGAAGUUAGAAACUGCUACUGAAGAGCAGACCUGUGUUGGGAGGAACACAGCUCUAAGGAAAGACUGGUAAAUCCAGAAGGGAAGAUCAAUGUGAUGGCUGGAGCUCUAGUUGGACCAUGAAGUGAAUUUGAAGAUGGAAGCCAUAUGCUAAGGAUGGCAGAACAAAAAGAUGGAGGAAACCUGGAACCUUGAUGACAUUGUAGCUCUCACACCAGCCAGAUUCCAGCCUUCUUUUGUGUGAGAGAGAAAUAAGCUUCUAUCUUCUUGAAACCACCAUUAUUUCCUCAUUCAUCUGGGACAUCACAAGCUUAGGGAUCUUUGGA